rnacentral:rRNA from 1 species
CAGGACGAACGCUGGCGGCGUGCCUAAUACAUGCAAGUCGAACGGUCUUUCUAUGGAAGCUUGCUUCCACUGAGAAGAUAGUGGCGAACGGGUGAGUAACACGUGGGUAACCUGCCCAUAAGAGGGGGAGUAACAUCCGGAAACGGUGCUAAUACCGCAUAGUUUUCUUGAUCGCAUGAUCGGAAAGGAAAGACGGCCUUUGUGCUGUCGCUUAUGGAUGGACCCGCGGCGUAUUAGUUAGUUGGUGAGGUAACGGCUCACCAAGACGAUGAUACGUAGCCGACCUGAGAGGGUGAUCGGCCACAUUGGGACUGAGACACGGCCCAAACUCCUACGGGAGGCAGCAGUAGGGAAUCUUCCGCAAUGGACGAAAGUCUGACGGAGCAACGCCGCGUGAGUGAAGAAAAGGGUUUUCGGAUCGUAAAACUCUGUUGUCAGAGAAGAACAAGUUGGAGAGUAACUGCUCCAGCCUUGACGGUAUCUGACCAGAAAGCCACGGCUAACUACGUGCCAGCAGCCGC